rnacentral:rRNA from 1 species
CUACGGGGGGCUGCAGUAAGGAAUAUUGCGCAAUGGAGGCAACUCUGACGCAGCCAUGCCGCGUGCAGGACUGAAGGCCUUAUGGGUCGUAAACUGCUUUUAUUUAGGAAUAAACUCUUGUACGUGUACGAGACUGAAGGUACUAAAUGAAUAAGCACCGGCUAACUCCGUGCCAGCAGCUGCGGUAAUACGGAGGGUGCAAGCGUUAUCCGGAUUUAUUGGGUUUAAAGGGUGCGCAGGCGGACUAUUAAGUCAGAGGUGAAAUCCCGGAGCUCAACUUCGGAACUGCCUUUGAUACGGGUAGUCUCGAAUACGGGUGAAGUAGGCGGAAUGUCGCAUGUAGCGGUGAAAUGCAUAGAGAUGCUACAGAACACCGAUCGCGAAGGCAGCUUACUAAGCCGAUAUUGACGCUCAGGCACGAAAGCGUGGGGAGCGAACAGGAUUAGAUACCCCGGUAGUC